CGUUAUUUUCUUUUCUGAAUUGCUCAUAUUGAGCAACUCGAACUCCAAAAUCGAAAAGAUUCGGAAAAUACUUAUCUUCAAAAUGGUUUUUAAUUUUGAAAUAUAAACCAUUAAAUGCCAUUUUGUUAAAUUCAAAUUCUGGCAUUCUUACAAAAUAACGGCUCCUUACCGUCUUGAAUCGGUUCAAAUAUUCUUCAACCGAUUCUCCUAUUCUUUGCCUUAACUGAGCUAGAUCAGCAACCAAAAAUUUCGACUCUGAUAUGUAAAACUGUUCAUGAGAUUUGUUUUCCAAUUCGUCCCAAUCUCGAACAUAAUUGGCCGGUAGACUAGUAUACCACGUAAAUGCAGUCUUGGUUAACGAAGUAUUAAACAACCUGAGCUUCAGGAAAGGAUUUGCAGCGGCUUCUCGGCAUUAAACCGUAAACAGCGCAACGUGCUCG
rnacentral:lncRNA from 1 species